CCUACGGGAGGCUGCAGUGAGGAAUCUUGGUCAAUGGGCGCGAGCCUGAACCAGCCACGUCGCGUGAAGGAUGACUGCCCUCCGGGCUGUAAGCUUCUUUUAUAAAGUAAUACAGUGAGGCACGUGUGCCUUUUUGACUGUACUGUAUUAUUAAGGAUCGGCUAACUCAGGCCCAGCAGCAGCGGUCAUACGGAUGCUUCGAUCGUUAUCGGUAUUUAUUGGGUUUAAGGGGAGCGUAGACGGGUUGUUAAGGACGGUGUGAAAGGUUGCGGCUCAACCGUAAGAAUGCAAUGGAUACUGGCUACCUUGAGUGCAGUUGAGGUAGGCGGAAUUCGUGGUGUAGCGGUGAAAUGCUUAGAUAUAUCGAAGAACUCCGAUGGCGAAGGCAGCUUACUAAACUGCCACUGACAUUGAUGCUCGAAAGUGUGGGUAUCAAACAGGAUUAGAUACCCGAGUAGUC
rnacentral:rRNA from 1 species